rnacentral:rRNA from 1 species
UGGCGGACGGGUGAGUAAUGUCUGGGAAACUGCCUGAUGGAGGGGGAUAACUACUGGAAACGGUAGCUAAUACCGCAUAACGUCGCAAGACCAAAGAGGGGGACCUUCGGGCCUCUUGCCAUCGGAUGUGCCCAGAUGGGAUUAGCUAGUAGGUGGGGUAAAGGCUCACCUAGGCGACGAUCCCUAGCUGGUCUGAGAGGAUGACCAGCCACACUGGAACUGAGACACGGUCCAGACUCCUACGGGAGGCGCAUG